rnacentral:rRNA from 1 species
CCUACGGGAGGCAGCAGUGAGGAAUAUUGGUCAAUGGGCGGGAGCCUGAACCAGCCAAGCCGCGUGAGGGAAGAAGGUACAGCGUAUCGUAAACCUCUUUUGUCAGGGAACAAAGGCGGGGACUAGUCCCCGGAUGAGGGUACCUUACGAAAAAGCAUCGGCUAACUCCGUGCCAGCAGCCGCGGUAAUACGGAGGAUGCGAGCGUUAUCCGGAUUUAUGGGGUUUAAAGGGUGCGCGGGCGGCCGGUUAAGUCAGCGGUAAAAGCCCGGGGCUCAACCCCGGCGAGCCGUUGAAACUGGCGGGCUGGAGUUGGAGAGAGGUAAGCGGAAUGCGCGGUGUAGCGGUGAAAUGCUUAGAUAUCGCGCAGAACCCCGAUUGCGAAGGCAGCGUACCGGAUCCAGACUGACGCUGAGGCACGAAAGCGUGGGUAUCGAACAGGAUUAGAUACCCUGGUAGUC